GCUUGCGUGGUGUAGUGGUCAGCACGCUCGGCGCGUAUUCGAGAGGUCCGUGGUUCGAGUCCCGGCGAGGGCA
rnacentral:tRNA from 1 species